GACGAACGCUGGCGGCGUGCUUAACACAUGCAAGUCGAACGGAAAGGCCCUGCUUUUGUGGGGUGCUUGAGUGGCGAACGGGUGAGUAACACGUGGGUAACCUGCCCUUGACUUUGGGAUAACUUUAGGAAACUGUGGCUAAUACCGGAUAGGAGCUCCUGCUGCAUGAUGGUUGCUGGAAAGUUUCGGUGGCUGCGGAUGGACGUGGGGCUUAGCAGCUUGGUGGUGAGGGAGUGGAUUACCAAGGCUUUGACGGGUAGCCGGACUGAGAGGGUGACCGGCCACAGUGGGACAGAGGAGCGGGCAAGAGGGAUACGGGAGGCAGAGGUGGGGGAUUGUGCGCGAUGGGCGGAAGGAGGGAGGAGGGACGCCGCGUGGGAGAGGUCGGCCGUCGGGGUGGAAAGCGCGUGCGCCUGGGACGAAGAGUGAGUGACGGUAAUGGGUAAGGAAGCAACGGCUAACUACGUG
rnacentral:rRNA from 1 species